AUUUUUUAUAGCAUUCAACCACUAAUAUUGUAUGCUAUUUGAAAUAUAGAAUUUCGCACGAGACACUGACAUAAAACUUUGCAUAAUUUGUUUAAUUAAUGCUGCCACUCUAAUGCGUGCAACAUGCAUUAUAAUUUGUUUAUGUUAUCAAGCACCACAAUCACUAUUGUUUAAAAAUUUCAACAACAUAAAAAUAAAAUCAUAACAAUAUUACAGAACUUCGUGCAACUUAUGUAUUCUUUAACUAAUUUUAAUUAAAUGAUUAAAUCUAAAAUUCUAUACGUACAAGAAAUAGGGUUAGAAAUUUGUGAGAAAUUCAGUUGCUAGCGCAACAAAUUGGACAUCUUUUUUGUGCAAAGAUUAUAGGUUUUUGCAGGGGUGGAUUCAGGAAUUUUGCGAGUACGGGCUAAAUAGUGAUAUCGUCAGCUCAAUCAUUGGGAAUCGGCUCAUGGGUGGCUCGUGUUUGUUUCGGGACAAACCCUAUCAGUCUAGCACAAACCGAGCGGGGAUUUUCGACGAGCAACUCGUGGAUGACACAACAAUAACAAUCAUUAAACAAAAAGGAAACAAGAAGUCAACAACAACUAUUAAGCCCAACCAAACACACCAUUACAUAUGAAUUAAGCUCAACAUAGUUCAAUAUAAAAAUCAUUGCAUUAAACACCAAAAAAUCAUAUAAAGAUAAUACAAAGAUUAUUAGGCUCAACACAAUUCAAUAAAAAAUCAUUGCAUAAAUCAUAAAAAAAAAAAAAAUCAUAUAAAGAUAAUACAAAGAUUACUAGCUUACAAAGUCAUUUGCUCCCGGCUUUUUCAAACCAACAAGUGAUUUUAUCCACUUCCCAAAAACACCCAUUUUGGAACAAAAUUAAAUUAAAGAUAAAAACAACCAAUUUUUUCCAGUAUAUGAAGACAAAACAGAACGAAGUAUAGAGAUUUUUGCAAUGAGCGCUUUCAUUAAUCUCUUCACUAAAUACGAAUUUAUCAAACUAUACAAAUAUGCAAAAAAAGGACAUUAAUGGUCCAAAUAUGAAAAAUAAAUAAAUAAAUAACUCAAAAUUGAAAUACAAAAAAAAAACAAACAAACAAACAAACAAAGAAUUUACUAAAAUGAUGGGAAAUCAUAUUACCGCUAAUUCGAUUCUUAAAUGUGAGGUAUUUUGAUCGUAGCACUCUGCGUUCUGGUGCUUGAUUGUCCAUCAAUUCCUUCUUUACCGUUCGCACCAUUGUUUGAUUGUUCUUGCAGGACAAAUAGAAAAACGAGAAAGUAAAAAAUGAAGGGGUAAUUCGAUUGUUUGAACAAAAUUGGUAAGUGAAUUU
rnacentral:lncRNA from 1 species